AGCGCAAUCUCCUCCUCUUCCCAUCGCUCAUUUUCUUUUCUCCCCUCCCGGCGCUCACAUCUUCCACGCAAGAGGCAACCCAUCGACCCCCUCCAGAAAUCUUAUCCCAUCUACUGUACAGGGCGGCGGCGGCUGGGAUCCCAUCUCCACGCCAGGUGCUCUCCGGCACGACCGCCGAUUUGGCUUGCCUCCAUUGCACUCCAGGAUUCUCUGGGGCUACGUUUCGCUGGUGUGUUGCCUGCAUCAUCAAGACGGCGGCACCCCAGUCCUUCCCCACGUCUAUGUCUUUGUUCCAUCCAAUGUAGCUCUGGUGAUGCUCCUCCACCUGCCAUCUGCGCCACCCAAACCAGCCGCAACCUCUUGCAUCCACUGCCCACACAUGUGCCGGCCAAGUUGGCCGCACAACCACAAGCGACCCACAUGGGAAGCGUCGCUGCUCCUAUAGAUGCCACCGUGGCUGCCUCGUUGCAAUCGGGCAUCGUGCAGAGGUAUUUCUACUACAAACUCCAUCUAAGUUGUGAAUAUUUUUCCCUUUUGACUAUUUCUAUAUAAUUAAGUGUUGCACAUGAAGAGUUCUUCGUGAGUAAUCAAGAUUGGUACAUGAAUAUCGCAAUUUCCCUUUCGAUUCCUGUAAUCUCUCUAUUCCUCUUCACAAUAGCGUCUGGGUCCAUCAUCUUUCUUUUCAUUUAUUUUUGGAGAUGGCUCCCUACACCUAUAUAUCUUGAUUUUGCAGCAGGUCGCACGCCGUCAGGAAUCCAUCAAUUCCUACUUCUGCUACUACACGAAGGUACGCACUGAUGUUUAUUCAUGCGUUGGAUCUUUUAAGCCCUUAUUGCUGAAUUCCAAGUCCUUCACCUUCGCUUACUGUUGUGCAUUAUUAGGAUGCCACUUGAUCUCUAUUCAACUUUCUGACCGCUUGUAAUCCUACACCAUAGAGGUAGGCGGUGAUGCUAUGAUAGCUUCUUGCUGCAUUUUUAUUCAUCCACCGAGAUUAACAUUAUGCACUAUAUGAUGAGAUCAUCUGCUCAAGAUUUCUUGUAGUUAAUGUUGUCAUUUUGUGAUUAUCUCUAUAUUAGAAUCUGUAUGUUCUGGCAAUAAAAUGUUUUGUUUGUUUUAUUCCUGUAGGUAUACAGUGCAUUCUAGGCAUUCCCUUAUAUUUUACCCAAACCAAUAUGACCUCACUGAUGACUGACAAGCUUCUCUGCCCUUGAAUCAGCAUCUCGCAUACGAAUGACUGAUGAAAGAUUUUCUUUACUCUUGAAUCCGACCGAUCUUAAUAUUGCAAAACUGUCAGGUUUGAUGCUUCAAGUUCUCAUGCAUGUAAUUCGUAUAAAGGUUUAAUAUUGCAAAACUUCCUUCACUUUCAGCAUCAUUGCCGCUUGCGUGCGCCUCAACCUGCACAUAGAUCGGGAGAAAAGGAUGGCGGAGACUAGAUAAAGGAAGAGGACAAGUGGAGAUAUCAAUUUCGUAUGAUGCAACAUGGUCAGGUAGAUAUGCAGCCGAUAGAAGCGUUUGCUUUGUCAGGGGAGGAGAGCUCCUGCGUCAUACCUGAACUACACCAUGAUCUGCUGCCAUCAAGAUACACACCCAGAUCCAAAAAAAUAGUUUCAACUUGCAGAUUUGUUGUUUACUAACCAAUUUUCUCUAGCAGGCGGCGUCAAUCAUAUUAUUGUACCCCUUUGAUAUAGGCGAUACGUACCGUCCAGUGAAGGUACUUUUUUCUAUAUUCGGCGAUUGAGUCUCAAUCAUUCUGAUGUUUUACUGUCGUGAGUUACAUCAUCAUAUAUGCACACCCGAGAGUGUAGACAAGUAUAGGCCUGUGAACAGUCAAAGGAAGAUGAUAAAAAAAUAGUAUAUGAUGGAAUCAUCUAGCAGUUCCUGGAUGUUGUGCUGUCAAGACUCGAGUGCUAUUUUCCCAAUAUAUAGACUUAAGAACAUCUCCUGCUUUAAUGGUCGUAACAGAUUGUUAUUCUUUUAUUGCUUCAGUGCUACACCUACAGUCUAAUUAUGUCCGUCUUUGCGUCGUAAGAUUCAAUUCUAAUCCCUCUUUAUUGUCAUAAUCUUUUGACACAACGUACAUGCCUUUUGUUUGUAACAAGGUAUCCUGACUUCCCAAGCCAUAAUUCUUACAAUAUUAAUUAGAAUAGAAUGUACGGAAUGCGUAAUAUGCUUAUGGGAUGCUAUGUUCCGUUAUUGAACCAAAGUUCCACUAUGCAAAGUUUAAGAGCUUUCUCCCUUACCUGGCAUUGUCUUAUGAAGUCUAACUGGCUCACAACCUUAUUUCAUUUUAAAACUUACCUUUCUCGCUAAUUUUUGUAUAAUUAUUUCAUUCGCUGAAUCUAGUAGAUUGAAUAAAUUUGCAGAAUUAUGAUACAACCUGAACUGGUACGCUUCUGUUCUCACCAUCAUGCAAAUGUUCUUGCACGCUAUUCUGUUUUGUCCUCCCUGUUAAUGCAGAUGACUACUCGCUAUUGUGGCCAGAUGAAGAUAAGGAAUUUCAUGCAAGUGACAAAGAAGCAUUACCACCACCCAGGGAGAUCUCCAAUGUUUAUUUGUUUUGUGUUUCUUUAUCUGCUCUUUGUGUGUCGGUUAUUUUGGUUGAGCGGAUGGUUGAGUAGUCACUGGAACGGAAACACCGGCAAACAUUGAUAUGAUAUAAAACACACAAUCUUUGUAUUUUUCUUCCCA